AUUGAACGCUGGCGGCAUGCUUUACACAUGCAAGUCGGACGGCAGCACAGAGACGCUUGCUUCUUGGGUGGCGAGUGGCGAACGGGUGAGUAACAUAUCGGAACGUACCGAGCAGUGGGGGAUAACUAAUCGAAAGAUUAGCUAAUACCGCAUAUCUUCUGAGGAAGAAAGCAGGGGACCAUUUGGCCUUGCGCUGUUUGAGCGGCCGAUAUCUGAUUAGCUAGUUGGUGGGGUAAAGGCCUACCAAGGCGACGAUCAGUAGCGGGUCUGAGAGGAUGAUCCGCCACACUGGGACUGAGACACGGCCCAGACUCCUACGGGAGGCAGCAGUGGGGAAUUUUGGACAAUGGGCGCAAGCCUGAUCCAGCCAUGCCGCGUGUCUGAAGAAGGCCUUCGGGUUGUAAAGGACUUUUGCCAGGGAAGAAAAGGGCGGGGUUAAUACCCCUGUCUGAUGACGGUACCUGAAGAAUAAGCACCGGCUAACUACGUG
rnacentral:rRNA from 1 species